GGCUUGUUUUAUAUUUUUAAUUUAUUUUUAUUUAUAUGAGUACCCUGUAGCUGUCUUCAGACACACCAGAAGAGGACAUCAGGUCCCAUUACAGAUGGUUGUGAGCCACCAUGCAGUUGCUGGGAGUUGAACCAGUGGGAGAGAACUGAGUGCUCUUAACCACUGAGCCAUCUCUCCAGCCCCUUAGUCCUUUUGUUAUCAGAACUAUUUCCCAGUCGUCUCUGCCUGCUCCACCCAGUAUCCCACCUCAGCUUCCUGAAGGAAAAAAGGACUUGGUUUAGGGACAAACAGGGGACAAGAAACAGACCUUGCCCAAUCUCCCAAACCCAUAAAACAUUUUACCAUGAGAGGAAGACAGAAAUUUCUUGAUCCUGACCAGUGAACAAAAGGUCACUGGAUUCUCCCCGGAGAGGAAUCUAUACAGACUAUGACAAUGCUAGUUACAAAUCACUUGGUCGCCCAGGGAACUGUGCUGGUGGGAACCCUGAACUCACGUACCUUAAGCAAAUAAACAGAUAAAGGGAAAAGCCACACCACAGCUCCAGCCAGCUGCCACACGAUUAUGAAACCUCUCCCGUCUUUAGUUAAAUGUUGUAAGAUAAUUGAUGGUUACAUUUUUUUUCUUGUUUCUUGUGGUAUUGUGGUCUUCCCCCUCAGAGGAGAGUCAUCCUUUUAAGUGGGAUCCAACAACCUUCCUCAAAGGCUGGAAGUCAAAACGGAGCCAACACUACUUUGAAAUGGUAUUUAAUGUCAGGUUGGCAGCCUUAGGGAAUAUGAAGGUGUUUGCAUUAGCGGCUUCCCCGCUUGGUUACAUUGUUUGAUUUUGUGUCAAUGGCAUGCCCGUUCGGGAGGUGUUUUAUACGUGGUUAGCAUAGGGGCUGCACACAGUAUUUGCUCUAAGUAGGUUAUUUUCUCUUUUUUCACCAUAGUGAGGUAAUUUAGGCCUCGGCAUGGCUUUAAGAUGCCAUCUGGCACCCCAAGUGUCACACUUCCUGUUUGGUCUAUGUUGUUGUGUGUGGUGUAAACAUUAACACUGGCAGCUUUCGUGGUGUUGGCUUUGAAGUGACUUAGAGGAGAAUUACUUCCACAGUCCGGUGCCUGUCUCCUUGCUUACAGAAUCAGGUUAGGUGGCAUAUAGAAGGGUCUCAGGGGCAUGCUAUGACAUAGAGCCACCAUUUGACCAGCUCCCCUGAGGCCCUAUCGAGACACAGCUGACUACUUUAGCAAGACACCCACGCUAUCUCAUGGAUAUUAUUCCAUCAGAUGAUACCGAAGAAGAAGGUAAACUUAAAAGAAAAAUUUAGAGUCCACACAAGUGUAGGUUCUCUAGGACUUUCUAGGGAGAUUUCCUGAGUGUGUAACUUUUGAGGCACAUUCACAGGUCUCUCAAACACCAAGCACCUGUUUCCCUUCCUGCACCGGUGCCAGACUUCUCAGUGAUCCUGUUUUGACACCAUAAAUGCCAAGAUUUGUCCCAAAGUCCCCAAAUGUCUUGCCCUAUUUAGACUCUGCUGUGCUCUGGUCUAUGCUUGGAAUUUUCUUUUCUUUCGUAUGAAAUCGAUUGCUUUUGUAUCUUUAAAAUUACGUUGUUUUUGCUCAUUCUUUGAGAAUUUUGCACAAUAUAUCUAUAUCAUAUUCACCCCUCACUUAUCCUCAUAACAACUCCAAGAUCGACCCCCAUCCUCCUUGCUACCCUAACAUCAUGUCCCCUUGUAUUAGUAACUCACCGAGUGAGGUUUGUGCAGCUCUUUCUGUGACCUUCGGUUCCACUUCCUUCUGUUGGUCAGGAUCAGGUUGGUCUGUGAAGACUUUCCGACCCCCACAAUCACAUCACACCCCCUGCCUCCCUCUCUCCUCCUUGGUCCCUGAAGUGGCACUGAGGUGAGCUGUUCCGUGUUGGAGUUGAGUAGCCUUGGUUUUCCCCAGGGCCGUGAGGCUGGCGGAGGGAAAAGGCAGAACCAAUUUAAGCAACUCACAGAUCAAACCAAACUCAGAAUUUCAUUUCCAUUAGCUCUGCCCGUAAAUAUUCUCCUAAGUUGAUUUGCAAUCCAUCGACUUGGCCAGGUAGCUCACAUUUUCCUAUAUUAUAAAUUACAAUACCAAUCACCCAGGAACAGUUGGGUCAAUUUAAAAAGAUUGAUUUAUUUAAAUUUUCAAGUCUAUGAGUUGUCUCCAUGUGUGUAUGUGCACCAUGUGUGCCUGCACCUUAGAACAGGCCAUUGGAUCCCCUGGAAUUGGAGUUCCAGGCAAAAACACUUAGACACAUAAAAUAAAAUCAAUACAUCUUCUUAAAAAGCCAGUAAACAAUAGCCAAAAAUAUUGAAAACAAACAAACAAACAAACACGUAAACAAAAACUCCCCACAGCAGUUUUUUAAGUCCACCCACUUUAAGCUUUGUAUUUCUAUUUUAUUUUAAAGGUUUCUUUAUUUUUUUCUUUAUCAUUGUUGUGAGACCUUCAAGCCAAGCUGCUUCAGAGUCAAAAGAGAACCUGAGUCUGCCCUUCCUGGCCACCUUCUGUUCUUCUUGCUCAUGUUCUGUGACUUCUGGGUUUUGGUGUCAGCUGUUGACUCCCGACCCUGGAUGUGUUUGUUGAUUGACUUCUCAGGGUUCAUCUGUUAGGGCUACAGUGUUCAGUGCCAUACAGUCCUGCUUGCCGAAUGAACACACUGCUGGUGAGACAAGGCAGGGCUUCCAUAGGGCUGAUGGUUACUGUUGCCAAGUGUCAACAUUUCUUUUUUUAAGAGCACAACAAGAAUCAAAUGUAGGCUGUGGUUAUAGUUUGGUGGUACAGCUCUUCUACAGCAUGUACUAAUCCUAGGAUUUGAUGCUCAGAACUGACC
rnacentral:lncRNA from 1 species